rnacentral:rRNA from 1 species
AUUGAACGCUGGCGGCAUGCCUUACACAUGCAAGUCGAACGGCAGCACGGGAGCAAUCCUGGUGGCGAGUGGCGAACGGGUGAGUAAUAUAUCGGAACGUGCCCAGUAGUGGGGGAUAACUGCUCGAAAGAGCAGCUAAUACUGCAUACGACCUGAGGGUGAAAGGGGGGGAUCGCAAGACCUCUCGCUAUUGGAGCGGCCGCUAUCAGAUUAGCUAGUUGGUGGGGUAAAGGCCUACCAAGGCAACGAUCUGUAGUUGGUCUGAGAGGACGACCAGCCACACUGGGACUGAGACACGGCCCAGACUCCUACGGGAGGCAGCAGUGGGGAAUUUUGGACAAUGGGCGCAAGCCUGAUCCAGCAAUGCCGCGUGCAGGAAGAAGGCCUUCGGGUUGUAAACUGCUUUUGUCAGGGAAGAAAUCCUCUAGGUUAAUACCCUUGGGGGGAUGACGGUACCUGAAGAAUAAGCACCGGCUAACUACGUGCCAGCAGCCGCCGUAAUAC